GACGGAGGGUGCUAGCGUUGUUCGGAAUCACUGGGCGUAAAGGGCGCGUAGGCGGCCUUGCAAGUCGGUUGGUGAAAGCCCGGGGCUCAACCCCGGAGGUGCGGCCGAGACUGCAGGGCUGGAGGGCCGGAAGAGGAGGGUGGAAUACCCAGUGUAGAGGUGAAAUUCGUAGAUAUUGGGUGGAACACCGGUGGCGAAAGCGGCUCUCUGGUCGGACCUGACGCUGAGGCGCGAAAGCGUGGGGAGCAAACAGG
rnacentral:rRNA from 1 species